rnacentral:rRNA from 1 species
UAUCGACGAGUUUGAUCCUGGCUCAGAGCGAACGUUUGCGGCGGGCCUAACACAUGCAAGUCGAACGGGCUAGCAAUAGUCAGUGGCGCACGGGUGCGUAACACGUGGGUAAUCAACCCUUCAGCUCGGGAUAACGCCUUGAAAGGGGCGCUAAUACCGGAUGCGACACGAGGAGCCUCGGCACUUCGCGGGAAAGAUUCGCAAGGAUCACUGAAGGACGAGCCUGCGGCCCAUCAGCUAGUUGGUGAGGUAAGAGCUCACCAAGGCGAAGACGGGUAGCUGGUCUGAGAGGAUGAUCAGCCACACUGGGACUGAGACACGGCCCAGACUCCUACGGGAGGCAGCAGUGGGGAAUAUUGGACAAUGGGCGAAAGCCUGAUCCAGCAAUGCCGCGUGAGUGAUGAAGGCCUUAGGGUUGUAAAGCUCUUUUACCAGGGAUGAUAAUGACAGUACCUGGAGAAUAAGCUCCGGCUAACUCCGUG